rnacentral:rRNA from 1 species
CGGGGGACAACAUUCCGAAAGGGAUGCUAAUACCGGAUGUGACGCUCCUAUCGCAUGACGGGAGCGUGAAAGAUGGCCUCUACAUGUAAGCUAUCGCUAAAGGAUGGGCCUGCGUCUGAUUAGCUAGUUGGUAGUGUAACGGACAACCAAGGCGAUGAUCAGUAGCCGGUCUGAGAGGAUGAACGGCCACAUUGGGACUGAGACACGGCCCAG